rnacentral:rRNA from 1 species
ACUCCUACGGGAGGCAGCAGUGGGGAAUAUUGCACAAUGGGCGCAAGCCUGAUGCAGCCAUGCCGCGUGUAUGAAGAAGGCCUUCGGGUUGUAAAGUACUUUCAGCAGUGAGGAAGGUGGAGUCGUUAAUAGCGGCCUCAUUUGACGUUAGCUGCAGAAGAAGCACCGGCUAACUCCGUGCCAGCAGCCGCGGUAAUACGGAGGGUGCGAGCGUUAAUCGGAAUUACUGGGCGUAAAGCGCAUGCAGGUGGUUUGUUAAGUCAGAUGUGAAAGCCCGGGGCUCAACCUCGGAAUUGCAUUUGAAACUGGCAGACUAGAGUACUGUAGAGGGGGGUAGAAUUUCAGGUGUAGCGGUGAAAUGCGUAGAGAUCUGAAGGAAUACCGGUGGCGAAGGCGGCCCCCUGGACAGAUACUGACACUCAGAUGCGAAAGCGUGGGGAGCAAACAGGAUUAGAUACCCUGGUA